rnacentral:rRNA from 1 species
AUGACGGAGCGAGUUGGAACAUUGGUGUAUCACCUGCAGUUGCCUCCAGACAGCCUCAUCCAUCUAGUAUUUCACGUCUCCCAGCUCAAGCCUUUCACCCCAGACUACACUCCAGUCUUGGCAGAACUGCCUCGAGUGCCCGAUCUCACCAGUGGGGAAACUGAGCCCAUGGCCAUCCUGGAGCGGAGGAUGUUGAAGAAGGGUGAUGCACCAGUUGUGUAACUCUAUGUUCAGUGGGCAAACAUGCCGCCAUCAGCCACCACUUGGGAGGACUACGAUGUUCUUCGUUAGCGGUACCCAUCAGCCUGUAUCUGGGAAGGAGCUCCAUCUCAAGAGGAGGACAAUGUUGCGCCUACUGAUGCUGACAACGCAUCAGCAGCGGACUGA